UCUCCGUUGGUGAACCAGCGGAGGGAUCAUUACCGAGUUUACAACUCCCAAACCCCUAUGUGAACGUUACCAAACUGUUGCCUCGGCGGGAAAUUCAUGCCCCGGGCGCGUCGCAGCCCCGGACCAAGGCGCCCGCCGGAGGACCAACCAAAACUCUUUUGUAUGUCCCUCGCGGACUUUUAUAAUUCUGAACCAUCUCGGCGCCCCUAGCGGGCGUUUCGAAAAUGAAUCAAAACUUUCAACAACGGAUCUCUUGGUUCU
rnacentral:misc_RNA from 1 species